rnacentral:rRNA from 1 species
AUUGAACGCUGGCGGCAGGCCUAACACAUGCAAGUCGAGCGGAUGAAGGGAGCUUGCUCCUGGAUUCAGCGGCGGACGGGUGAGUAAUGCCUAGGAAUCUGCCUGGUAGUGGGGGAUAACGUCCGGAAACGGGCGCUAAUACCGCAUACGUCCUGAGGGAGAAAGUGGGGGAUCUUCGGACCUCACGCUAUCAGAUGAGCCUAGGUCGGAUUAGCUAGUUGGUGGGGUAAAGGCCUACCAAGGCGACGAUCCGUAACUGGUCUGAGAGGAUGAUCAGUCACACGGGAACUGAGACACGGUCCAGACCCGUACGGGAGGCAGCAGUGGGGAAUAUAGGACAAGGAGCGAAAGCCUGAACCAGCCAUGCCGCGUGAGUGAAGAAGGGCUUCGGAUUGUAAAGCACUUUAAGUUGGGAGGAAGGGCAGUAAGUUAAUACCUAGCUGUUUUGACGUUACCAAAAGAAGAAGCACCGGCUAACUUCGU